CAGAUGCUGGCACUAGCAUGUGGAGGUUGGGCUAAAUGCUUUAGGGCUAAAUGUGAUUCGGUCGGCUUGGGACUUCUGUUUUCCAGCUGGGUAUUUUUAAAGCUUCUGUCACAGCCUUGCUAGCUAAAGCAUGAGUGAUCCCAUGUACUUCUUCUGCAUAAAGUGAACCACUUCACUGCAGAGCAAAGAGGACAACAAAAUGAAACAAUGCUGAACUCUUCAUUUGGCAUGUAGGCAAAAAUCCUGGCGGGGCCAAAGUACAAGUUCCUACCCUUUCAUUAUUGCCUUUGGUUUGGUGUCUAUCUAUCUCCACUGUUACAUCCUCAGGACCCACAAAAAAAAAAAUCAAAUCGAGUGUCUGUAUGUCAGAAUUGGCAGAUUCUCUGCUAACAGCUGCACAGUGCAUCAGCAGAGCAGUGGCGGUGGGAAAAAAUCUCAGGAAUGUGCUUAAGACUAUUUUUCAUUGCUUCUUUCAGUGCCCGGAGAUCAAACAUACUCAGAGUAGCAGAAUGGAGCAGAGCCCAGAGCUGUGAGAAUGCGCAUUCACUGGAUUGUUGAGUGGACAAAAAAAAAUCAGUGUUCCUGAAAGACUGAGAUCAUCCCCUCUCCAUGUUUUUCUUGUGCAUCACUGAGUAUCUCUUUGGUUUUCUAUUUCGAUCCUUUCAACCUUAACAGGACAAGAGAAUGAAAUAUGCACAUAUGUAUGGAUUUCCUACUUUUUUUUUUUAAACUAUAUUUUAAGUUUUGGACCACUUUUCUUCCAACUGUUCAUUUGCACUACCUGACAGUAAACCUUCAGUGAGAGAGACUUCUUCUAGAUCAGGGAACUAACACAUGGUGAAAAGGAGGAAGGAAAUCCCUUUCUCACAGCCCAAAGACUGACUGCCAGCAAAUUACCAGAAAAGCAACUCUGGCAACAUUCUCCUGGCUACUUGAUACAGGAACAUCUCAUCUGCUUGUAAGGGUUCAUCUGUCCAGAUUGAGAUCUCCAGUACCAUGCUAUUUCUGUGCUGGCAGGAGCUGAGAGCACAUAAUAGUGCAGACCAGUGGUGUGACGUGUUUUCAGCACUUGCAUUAUCAUGCAGCAUCUUCUUGUCUGAGGAGAACAGAUGGAAUAGCCCUUGGAGCGCAUGGCACAUACCCACCUCUCUAAGAGCUCUUUGUGCUUAUCAGGAACUCUCUUUCCACUUGAGAUCCCCACACAGCUGUUACACUGCUGUCUUCUGGUGUGAAAAGAGAAAUCCUCCAGCUGGAGAAGCAAAUCACCUGCUCACUUGCUUCUUUUCUGUAUCAUCUUCUGGAGGCCGAAGGCAUAGCAGGGAGGAGGACAACUAGCUCUGCAGGCUGCUUAUGAGUGCUGCCUGUUUUUGUGGCAUGAGGCCAGCUGGGUUGCCCUUUGGUGGUGUGGGACUGUAAAAUGGAUCGGAUGGCGUGUGGUCUCCGUGCUCGAGUGCUCAGGGUGCUGGCUCAGAGGAGUAAUGGAGCGCUCUCUGAGACGCGCGCUCUCCUCCCAUUGAUUCAGCAGGCUGUUCUCUUCUGUCUGUCUGAGCUUGCGGGCUUUUUGAGGCCAAGGCAGGAUGAAUGAAACUCUGGUAAUUACUACAACAUGAAUUCAGAAGGAUCCUAUUGGUAGGGUUCAUCAGCAACUCAUUAAUUAAACUGUUGCCAUGGUGCCAGUUGCCCUGGUAGCAUGAAAUCCUUUCUCCUCCCUUUCCCCUCCUCCUCUGCAGUUCACAGGAUUCUCAUUCAUAUUCUUGUGCUUAACAUGAAUGAAGCCAGAGAGCAUGGGGCUAGGGGAAGAGGCACUUGUGGAGAGAAGAUGCCUUUUCCCCCACUGUGACUACCCCCUCAUGGGCCUGAAUAAUCACUCAGCUCUUCCUCUGUGUUUUUCUUUCCUUGGAAACACAAAUUCUGCCUCAUACACAUCCUGUCUUUUUUUUCUAUGGUUGCUUACAGCUCAAAUCCCAAUUACCCUGAGCACCUGUGUUAUUCUGGGUUCUUGGAAUGAGUUCCUGUGAUUGACAGUGGUGCAAGUAAAGGGCUGGGCCCUUUAUCUGCAGCCUAAUUGCAGAGGCUUGGCAGUUUUCUAGAGGUAAGCCUUUGCCUGUGUGGGUUUUCUCUGCUUGAUUAAAUCACAAUAUUUCCUCUGUCUCUGAAGCCAGAAAGGACCAUUAACUCUUCCAGGCUGUCCACCUUCAUAGGACACAGCAGUGACUCCCCCCAUGUCUUCUGCUUUGUGCCUGAAAGCUUCUGGCUGAGCUGUGAUUUCCUUGCCAGAAGAUGCUUCAUCUUAGUAUAAAUGUUGAUAAUGAUGGAGAACGCUGCACUCUGUGGCAACCUGUCCAUCCAGGUGUCUAACCACUCCUUGUUGCCAAGAAUCAGCCCCCCCAACAUGCAUGGUAGGUCUUGUAUGACAUUACUUCUCUCUUUCAUGUUUUUUUGCCUGUGGGUGCUUUCUCACAGAAUCUAGCAGCUCCCUUCUUCAGAGAUGAAAUCCCAUCUCAUCUCUGUGGAUGUAGAUGGAUGGUUGAUGAUUUGCCCUCAGCCCACCAUUCUGGCCAUGUCCGGCUGUAAAUAUUUGCAGAAGAAAUGCAUCCAUAGGAAGACAUGGUUGUAUUCAUUCUGUAAGGGUGUUUUUCUGGUUCAAAGUGUUUGAAGUAAUAAUGAUAGGGCUGUGUUUCAGCAUCUAAGAACAAUGUUUUCAUAGCACAAAACUGAGAGUGUAUGGUAUGUAUGAGUGUGAGGAAGUACAGCCAGCUGGGAUGGUGUCAGAGGAACACACAUGAUUAAAGAGUCAAACCUGACCUUGUCCUUGUAGCUGCUGGGAGUGAUCACUGGUGUGUGCUGUCCUUUGAGCUCUGUUCUGUGGAAAGACAGUUGUUACGGACCAAAAUCACACCUGUUGUGCAAGAACAAGUAGGUAGUUUGGACGACUAGGGUUCUGAGGUCCAUCUUUCUCCCUAGCUCUGUUUUAUUUAACAGUCUAGACAUUGCAUUAGAAGUAGGGAUGAAAUUUAUCCCAUGGGCUAGAUUAUUCCCUGUCUGCCUGCUACGAGGUGUCACCCAACUUCGUCCAAAGUCUCUGGCAAUGGCAAUGUUUUGAAGGAGGGCAGUGAAGCAGAUGGGGAUGGGGCCUGAGCAAAAAUGAAAAUUCAAAGGUCCCUGAUUUGGCCCUACCUAGAAAUUUGAAAAAGUGCUAAGUCUGUAAUAUCAGUUCUGUUUUCUCCAGGCAUUAUAUGUUCUGCUUCACUCCCUGCCCAUUCAGAUGAAUGUAAAACCCUUGUGAAAGUGCCAUGAAAGCUGGAACCCCUGGCAGAGGACAGCACCUUCUUCCCUGGUAGCUCAGAGCCAGCACGUGUGACUGCACUGGUGUUACUGUGGAGCUUCUUGAGCACAAAUACACAGACAAAUAGAGACAGACCAACUGCCCAUUGCAGUCUGUUGCCAAAAUAAUUUCAGCCCAUCUGAGGACAAAGCAAGAAGGACCCCACUUUUCUCAUUGCCUCUAAAUUACUACGGAAUCUGUUGACCCUUCCUCAUCCAGUUGCAAACGCCUUCAUCUACAAAAUGACAAGGAGAAAUGCUUAAUCCUCCACGAUGAAUCUCACAGAUGCUUCUCCCAGGAAAUGAACUAAAGGUUGCAGCUUUGCUUGAGUGACUGUGAGUCAGGAGACCUCCUCCUUGUCCCAAGUCUGAGAGAGGAAAGUCUGGGACCAGCCAGACUGUAUAUUUUUUUGCAUGGGUCUGAAAUAGAAUCAGCAGACUUUAAAGCUGGUAUACCAAAAGAAAAUGAUAGCACAAAACCCAGCCAAGCUCCUUGGAAAUGUAAAUAGACCGGAAACACUGAUGUCCUCUUAACACAGCAUCAAUCACUGCUGGGUGCUGGAAGUGGCAGCACAUUCAUUAUGGUCUACGUAACCAUCACAAGCAGCAGAUGGAGCAGGUUUAAGACCUAACAGUGGAGUUUUGGAGCAAGAAGCCUGCUUCUGAGAACAACAAUGGUGUAUUAUGCAUACUUUGACUUCUUGGCUGAUGCGAGAUAAAAAAGAGGGGAAGGUGAAUCAUCUUCUCUGAAGCACUGAUGAAUACACACGAGGCUUUCAGACCACAGCUCUGUGUGGUACAAUGAAUAUUUUCUUCAAGCCUGAGAGCAAGUUUUUUUUAAAAUUUAUGGAGGAAACAGAGCAUUCAGAAAACAAAUCUACACUUCUCUGAGUGCCAGACCAUAUCUCCGAGCACUGUAAAGACAAUGGACGUGAGUGAUCUUCCUCCCGACAUAAAAAGUGCAGAAGAAGGUGUGAAGCUCUUACCCUCGCUGUUGAAACAAGUCCCAGAAGAACUGAUGUCAUUUUAUUUGGAACAGCUGCUAUCUGCCCGUACUGUGUGGAGAGCCAUAUUUCGGCUGAGUCACCAAGGCCCGCCACACCCUGCUCUGUAGCACUUGCUCUCCAUAGCGAUUUAAUAACUCACAUUUACUGCAGAACUGUUAUUCAUAUCUCAUUAGAUUUUGUGGGAGCUUCAGCAGUAAGCAACGUACAUUGUCAUGGUUCACAAAGCUGUUGUGAUACUUGUCAACCAAGAGGAAAUUGCAUUUUCCCCUGCUGUAAAGCAGCUACGGAGAUGGAAGCUAUGAAAUUAGUCAGCCUUAACAUGCAUUAAUCAAGGAAGGGAAGUUGAAGAUGCCCUUGGAGAAAGAUGGGCUGAGAGGCUGGGCCUAGAGGCUGGGCCUAGAUACUGGGCCUGUCUUGGGUAUGAGCAGUAGGCAAGACUCUAAGUGGCCAGUCUGGAGAGACCAUGCUGUCAUGAGAGCAGGUGAAACCAGGAGAAUGAUGAGGACAGCACCAUUAGGAGCAGCAGGAGAGGGAAAUCUGGAAAUAGCAGGUCUAACAGAGGCUCUCCUUAGCCACCUGGGAUUUCAGACUUUGUUUUGUGCUCUGUGGGACAGGUAGAAUAUGAGCACUGGAAGGGACACAUUUGGCUCUGCACGUUUACUACUCUAACGUUGUCCCUGUAAAUGUGGCAGGUGACUGGUCUGCAUGGCUUGUGUUCCCUGUAAGUGUGGGUCUGCAGGUGCCUUUGCACAGCAAGAUGCUCUAUCCUCCUUCCGUGCAAGUAAUGUUGUGCUUUCUUAUGGGGUAGCUCUGACACCAAGACACAGAGACUUUCUGCAUAUGUCAUUGUGCAGGAAGAAAGAAGAACCAGGAGAGAAAAGCUGGUGUAUGCUUCCUCUGGGAAAAGUCCAGAGGUUUAGUAUUGCUGUGUUGGAAGAGGAGGCACACAAAGGAAUCACAAGCCAGUACAUGGACUGCCAGGAGCACUGGACUCCAAGCAUGGCAAGAAAGAAGUUAUUUCCUGUAACUUUCCUGUAAAACAAACAAACAAAACAACAAAAACACACCACCACCACCAAAAAUGAAACAAAACAAAACACCACAACAAUAAAAAAAUAGCUUCAUCCUUUUCAGCUUUUUUUUGUUCAAUUUGUUAUUCAGCCCCACCCCCUAAUCCUCACUCCAGCUUAUAGGUAGAGUUGUGAUUUUUCUUCUCCUGUGUAUUAAGAUCCCUGCGUGGAAGAUGAUUGUCUCUGGUGCUGAAUACAGCUUUUGGGGGUUGAUACAAGACUGAUUCCAUUCACGAAACUUGAAGUGACUUUGCUCUAGCAAUAUGAAAUGGGAGUACAGCUCACCUUGCAGAUGGUUGCCUAAAAUAUUAAACAGUGAUUCACCAUUA